rnacentral:rRNA from 1 species
UACACACCGCCCGUCACACCAUGGGAGUUGGCUUUACCUGAAGGCGGUGCGCUAACCCGCAAGGGAGGCAGCCGACCACGGUAGGGUCAGCGACUGGGGUG